rnacentral:rRNA from 1 species
GUAGGUGGCAAGCGUUGUCCGGAAUUAUUGGGGCGUAAAGCGCGCGCAGGCGGUUCUUUAAGGCUGAUGUGAAAGCCCACGGGCUCAACCGUGGAGGGUCAUUGGAAACUGGAGAACUUGAGUACAGAAGAGGAAAGCGGAAUUCCACGUGUAGCGGUGAAAUGCGUAGAGAUGUGGAGGAACACCAGUGGCGAAGGCGGCUUUCUGGUCUGUAACUGACGCUGAGGCGCGAAAGCGUGGGGAGCAAACAGGAUUAGAUACCCUGGUAGUCCACGCCGUAAACGAUGAGUGCUAAGUGUUAGGGGGUUUCCGCCCCUUAGUGCUGCAGCUAACGCAUUAAGCACUCCGCCUGGGGAGUACGGCCGCAAAGGCUGA